rnacentral:lncRNA from 1 species
GGCUCCCACCAGAGCAGAAUGGGCAGGCCUUUCGUCACCCUCAAGCUCAUAAAACCCCGAGGAAGCUAUGACUUCGUCACUUUACGACCUCGCUUCAUUUCCUGUUCUGAGGACAUUGCUCUGUGCGAAUGACCUCAGAACUGCCUAGAAGCCGAGAGCUGUGUCGUCUGGCUUCAGACGUUGAGCUGUGCUUCAAGUUCCAGCCUCAAAGUGGUGACACUCCUCCAGCCCCUUGGACCAUGCGGAGACCUGCACCACCUACCUACAUCUCUAUGUCUGGGCCAGCAGUGUUGCCUGGCUUCUUGGCAAAUCCCUGGUUUGCUUGGUUCUGGGUAGGUAACCUGUGCCCAGAAGAGUGAGCCAUCUCAGGAUGUCCUCAGAUGAAGGAAGACGACACAGCUCAUAUCCUGGAGGGGAGCAGGAAGUCCAAGCUGAACCCUCCCACAGAGGUCCUCGAUUGAGUAGAGCUACCCCAGGGCAGUGUGGACAGUGGGAGAAGUCCUGAGCUAAUGUGUGCUGUGGUCAUGUCAGGGACUGCGGUGCCUCAGACCAAGAGAAUGGCAAAGCCUUUCCUGAGCCGCCUGGUUUAUGCCUCCUACUUUGCAUCCACCCAAGGUGUAAUCUACCAGAGUAGAACCAGAGGGAAGCUCUGGCACUGGCUCACAGGAGGCCUUGGUCCUGAUGUCUUGCUGUGCUGAGCUUCUUCUCAAGGACUGAUGUGACCUGUCCAGCCCUGCAGCUCUACUGGUAGUUUCAGAAAAUGCACUUCUUCAAAACAUUUCUAUUUCCCGAACAUCCAUCAAGUGACAGGCUGUGGAGCUCAGGCUGUGCCCCAAGAAGCUCCAUUCGCAAGCAACUCUUGACUCCAUUAUGAAGCUAGAGGACGACUGUAUGUCUUGAUGGAUGUGUAAAUAGUAAUUCUACCCAGUACCACCCAUGAACCACAAAGCACAGGCUUAUAAAUGACUUAUUUCUAAGAGUAGACAUGGUGACAUCCUAUAAAUUCAUCAGGGUAAAUUGAAACUGUACAGUCAUAUGGACAUGAUCAAGUCACACCAAGAAAAACAGUCCCAAGAACUUGUGGAACACAGGAGACCGAGGAAUGGGGUAAACCUCACAUGGGUCCCUUAAAGAAGCGAACAUCUAGCAUUGUGAUGGCAAUGGCUCCCACUGACCUGUCACCUUGUCAGUGGGGACGGAGACACAGCUCCAUACUGACUCUUUCAGCAGCCUGACCACAACUCGGGCCCAACUGAAGUCUGUGGAUUCAACACUGAAAAGAAUUUUGAGCCUAGCCAGUUUGCAAAGACGAGGUGGAGAUAGAGUAAUAUAUUUUUAGUACAGGAUUCAAAGAAAUAGAGGCCAGCCUGUGAGAUGGGUCAUCAGGUUAAGCACCUGUCACCAACCCUGACAACCUGAGUUUGGUCCCUGGGACUCACAUGGUAGAGGAGAGAAUGAUUCCACAAGUUGUCCUCUGACCUCCACAUGCACACAGUAGCACACAAGAGCCCCCUUCCCACACUAAAUAAACAAACAAAUUUUAAUCAA